AAACUUUCAACAACGGAUCUCUUGGUUCUGGCAUCGAUGAAGAACGCAGCGAAAUGCGAUAAGUAAUGUGAAUUGCAGAAUUCAGUGAAUCAUCGAAUCUUUGAACGCACAUUGCGCCCGCCAGCACUCUGGCGGGCAUGCCUGUUCGAGCGUCA
rnacentral:rRNA from 1 species